rnacentral:lncRNA from 1 species
ACUACUUUGUUGUUCUUCACAAUUAGUUGGAGCUUUCUUUGGUCAACAGCAGAUGUGACUAAGAAAAUCACGCUGUUUCACUUAGAGCAGUGGUCACCAAGUGUGGUCCUUAGGCCACACAGGUCAGCAUCACCUAGGAACUAGGAAAUGCAAGUUCUUAAGCAAUCCCACCCAGACCUACUGAAUUGGAAGUGCUGAGGAUGGGGUCCAGCAAUCUGUGGUUGAACAAGCUCUGCAGGCAUCCAGGAGCAGAGCUGUGGGGCAGCAGAAUCUGUGAUGACAGAGAAUGAUGAUGUAUUUUUGCCAGCAGAUGCUUUUGCUCCUGUUUUGAUACCCCAAUAUUCGGAUGCAGAAAAGGACUCUGAGCAUUGCUGACGGGUGUGCUCUGCACACCUAUCUCUUCAGGAUCUGAAUAAUUUGGUGGAAAGACAAUGCCUUUUCUGGAAAAGGGUGUCAGGAGUUACCUUUCAUGGAAGGGUAAGCAGGAAGCAACUACAAGAUCAUCAUUUCAAAACAAUAUGAAAGCAGAAUGGGAAAUGCCAUGGCAUGCUCCCUCUUUUCAGACUUUCACCAGAAAGUUUGUGCAAGUUAACUCUCAAAGUCUUACGGCAUGGCCACAAGAGCGCAGUCUCUGGAUUGGAGGAUGGAAUGGUGCCUGGCUGUUUCUCACACGAACCAGACGGUCUCCACAAAGAACAAUGUUCUUCCCAACCUGCCAAGACAGCCAAAUAACAAAAGAAAUACCCGUGGAGCCCACCUGAAGUGCACAGAUCUGGGGACAUUGGGAGGAACAGAGGUAGCUUAGUGACUCUACUGUCCCUACCACCCAACCUGCUAUUAGCCCUGCUGGUCCGCUCGUGUUUGAGGUCAUGAGUCAGGUUCAAAUAGCCAUGACUGGCAGAAGAUGUCAAUCACAUUUCAUUUCCAUUUUCACUUUGCUGUUUACAUUCUUUAAAUUAAUGCUUGCCCCAAUGAUUGUGAUAUUUAAAGACCAGCCUAGAAUCUAAUUGUGUAUAUGUGAAACUGUUUUCUAAACCAUAAGAUGUUAUAUAAAUACAAACCACUAUUAUUAUUAACAUUAUUACUAUUGGCUCAUCCGGAAAUACCAUAUCUUCCAUUGAGCCAAUGGUGUCAAGAGCCCCCUAGAAUUCUAAUAUAUAUUCCAGAUGGGUGCACUGAUAAUUUCUUUCAAACUCAGAUAAAGGUAAAAUGCAUGGGUUUUUAGUGCAAGCCAGGUGCCCGACGAAGAAUAUUCUGCCAGAACACUUUAGAAAUACAGUAUGCUUUUAACCUUGGGAGGUAAGGACCAGUGUGGAUUAUGACUUUACACUAAACACAGCAUUUAGUAUAUUUCUUAAGGGCAUAAUCACCUUCUAUAGAUGUUCUUGAACUAUAAAAUCUUUAUCUGUAUGCUAUCAUAAUUUAUCCUCGGACACAUCCUGUGCAAUAUUUUAUAAUGCUAGUGUAUGGUGGGCCUUUCUGGUCAAUGCAUUGGAGAACAAGGUGUGGAGUGCAACAGAAGGGCUGGAAGCGGCUUGGGGAUGCUCUGGCCUCACCCUCUUUUGCGUCAUAGCUGCACUCAUACGCAGACCCUGACCCAGGACCCAGGUCGGCUGACUUCUAAUUCAGAUCAUUUGCUGCCAGAAUUCUGCCUGUGAGUGAGAACAGCAUGAGGAUAUGAGCUUCUUGAGUCAGUCCACCUGCCCAAGUCCCAGCUCUGACCCUCUUUAGAGCUCUGAUCUCAGACCAGUUACUCCAUACCUCAAUGUCCUACGAUCUACUGUGAUCCCUACUGGACCAAGGACACCAAAUUUCGGAGAUGCUUUGGGAUUAUGUGACAUAACCAGGGGGCUGCAGGCUGACAGCCUGAGGACCAACUACUGUCCCCAGUGUGCUGAGCUUGGCACCACCCUGCUGAUACACAGGAUUUCACAUGUGGGACAAUCUUUAAGUCUGAAGAUUGUCCAUACAAAUAUGGAUUUCUAACUUCUAAUUAAAAAUCUUGUA